UCAGCCGGAACGAAACGGUCACGGCUAAUACCUGUGGUCACUGACGGUACCGGAAGAAGAAGCACCGGCUAACUACGUGCCAGCAGCCGCGGUAAUACGUAGGGUGCGAGCGUUAAUCGGAAUUACUGGGCGUAAAGCGUGCGCAGGCGGUUUUGUAAGUCAGAUGUGAAAUCCCCGGGCUUAACCUGGGAACUGCGUUUGAAACUACAAGGCUAGAGUGUAGCAGAGGGGGGUGGAAUUCCACGUGUAGCAGUGAAAUGCGUAGAGAUGUGGAGGAACACCGAUGGCGAAGGCAGCCCCCUGGGUUAACACUGACGCUCAGGCACGAAAGCGUGGGGAGCAAACAGGAUUAGAUACCCUGGUAGUCCACGCCCUAAACUAUGUCAACUAGUUGUCGGGCCUUAACGGGCUUGGUAACGCAGCUAACGCGUGAAGUUGACCGCCUGGGGAGUACGGUCGCAAGAUUAAAACUCAAAGGAAUUGACGGGGACCCGCACAAGCGGUGGAUUAUGUGGAUUAAUUCGAUGCAACGCGAAAAACCUUACCUACCCUUGACAUGUACCGAAGCCCGC
rnacentral:rRNA from 1 species